rnacentral:rRNA from 1 species
AAUUUUUGACAAUGGGGGAAACCCUGGUACAGCCAGCCCGCGUGUAUGAUGAAGGACUUCGGGUUGUACAGUACUUUUGGCAGAGAAGAAAAGGCAUCCCCUAAUACGGGAUGCUGCUGACGGUAUCUGCAGAAUAAGCACCGGCUAACUACGUGCCAGCAGCCGUGGUAAUACGUCGGGUGCAAGCGUUAAGCGGAAUUACUGGGCGUAACGCGUGUGUAGGCGGUUCGGAAAGAAAGAUGUGAAAUCCCAGAGCUCAACCUUGGACCUGCAUUUUUAACUGCCGAGCUACAGUAUGUCAGAGGGGGGUAGAAUUCCACGUGUAGCAGUGAAAUGCGUAGAUAUGUGGAGGAAGAACGAUGGCGAAGGCAGCCCCCUGGGAUAAUACUGACGCUCAGACACGAAAGCGUGGGGAGCAAACAGG